UCUGAGAAUCUAAACCCUCUCCGGCCGUGGCCCCGACGCCCUUCCGCCGCCUUUAUUUAGGCUUCUCUCAACGCCGUUGUUCUUCUCUCUUCGUGGGGUCGUUCGCUUCCGAAGCGUUACGAAGUCCCUCACCGCUCCUCAAUUUCUCAGCUAACCCCCAUCCUGUCUCCAAAAUUUCGUCGAGCUCCUUCUCCUCUCCGCCUUGGUCUCUCCCUUUUAUGGGCAAACGGCUCCCCUUGGCGACGAGCCUCGUGGAGUUUGCCCGCAUCGCCACCGAGAGAAUAAGGAGGGCGAAGCACUCGAAGCCUGGCCUCAGAUCGCUGGCUUCGAAGGAGGAGGCCUCAGCAGCAGCAGCCGCCGCCGCCGCCGCCGCCGCCCGGGCGAGCGCCGAAGAUCGGCGCCCGGUGGGCCGGGUCAUGGAGGAUGGGGAGCGGCAGGAGCGCCGCGUGCCCCUAUCGGAGGUGGUGUCGGACUGCGUGAGGCGGUGGUUCCAGGACGCGCUCAAUGAGGCGAGGACCGGGGACCCGGGGAUGCAGGUGCUGGUGGGCCAGAUGUACCACAGCGGCUACGGCUGCCCGCGGAAUGAGCAAAAGGGAAAGGCUUGGAUUGCAAAAGCUUCAAGGUAUCGUUCAGCAGCUUGGAAGGUUAGCUACAAGCAUCCAGGCUAUAAUGCUAGUGACUCGGAUUCUGAUGAGGCGAAGGAUGAUGUGAAGUGAUGAAUGCAUCCAAUUUGAAUCUACGAAAAUAUGGAAGAUGGUGCAUCCAAAAGAAGGAAAGAACUAGUUCAAUCAAGCCCUUGCUGGCUCCCUUAUCACUAUAGUCAUUAGUCAAAAAUGGCUUUGACUGGCCCUUCGCAUGAGAGUGCCUGCUUAUUGCCAGCAGCAAAUGCACGCCUGUUCUGUGGCCACACAAUUCCAGAUCUUAAUCCACUGUGUAUCAGUCAGCAUGCUCCCAUUAAGUAAUCAAGAUUUUUUUUUUCUGCAGUCCUUAAUCAACGUGUGCCUUUUUCGCAGUCCUUAAUCAACAUGUGCCUUGGGAUCAUCUUCUGACAUCCCUUUUGGGAUACUGGAUGUUAUAAUUCUAUCUCAUUUUUAUCAAAUAAACAAACUUUCUCUCA